rnacentral:rRNA from 1 species
AUUGAACGCUGGCGGCAGGCCUAACACAUGCAAGUCGAGCGAGCGGCGGACGGGUGAGUAAUGUCUGGGAAACUGCCUGAUGGAGGGGGAUAACUACUGGAAACGGUAGCUAAUACCGCAUACCAUCAGAUGUGCCCAGAUGGGAGUAGCUAGUAGGUGGGGUAACGGGUCACCUAGGCGACGCUCCCUAGCUGGGCUGGGAGGAUGACCAGCCACACUGGAAUGGAGACACUGUCCAGACUCCUACGGGAGGCAGCAGUGGGGAAUAUUGCACAAUGGGCGCAAGCCUGAUGCAGCCAUGCCGCGUGGGUGAAGAAGGCCUUCGGGUUGUAAAGCACUUUCAGCGGGGAGGCGUUACCCGCAGAAGAAGCACCGGCUAACUCCGUGCCAGCAGCCGCGGUAAUUC